rnacentral:lncRNA from 1 species
AGUUCAGGAACAUCGCAUUUCAUAUCAGAGAAAUUAAUUGGUUGAAUAACUGCAAUAUUUCAAACAUACAUGCUCAUUAUUACAAAAUUUGAAGCUAAAAUAACAUAUGACAUGUUUUACCAACGUAAAAACAUGCAAAACAUGAAUCUAGCGACAUAAAACUUGCCUGUGGGCUAAAGUUCUAAUUCAAUUAGAUUCAUCUUAACUUCACAAUAAAACCAUCAAAUUAUGUUCUCUUUUCUAAUACAUGUGGGCAAAUUAGAAAAUAUAGUUUGAUAUUUUAUCCUAAUUAAUCACAUAUAAUACGAUAAAAAUUCCUGUGGGAUAAGAUUUACCAUAUCAAUUAUGAUUAAUCACAAUUAAUGUUUGUUCUCCAAACGUGAUCCCAAAUGAACCUUAAUAUUUAAUUUCAAUUAAUUAAAGAUGUUGUAGCUAUUCCUUAAUUAAUUAAAACUAUAUGGAUCACCAAACAUUAACUAAAUUCUUAGGCUCAAACUAUUGCUAAACCAUAUGCAUUGCUAAUAUAAAAUUGGACAUUAAAGUACUAAUAUUAUUCAACUUAAUAUGCAUGUAUAAUAAAUUAUUCACACAAAUAACGAAAAUAAAUAAUAUAAGCACAUCAAUAUCCAAAUUAAAUUCUUAAAGAGCCUUCAUUAGAAUUAAUUUUAACGUGUAUAAAUUAUUUAACUUAAUAAUGUAUGCAUAAUGAACCAUAAAAUUUAUACAUACAAACAACAUAAAUAAAUAAUUUAAACACCAUUCUUUGCAGCAGGUUCAAGAUUAAAUUAACAAUAAUAUUAAAUAAUACUAAACAUUCCUUUUUCAUGCAAGUUGCCUGCUAUUUCAUGCAAAUUGAUACUAUUUUCAUGCAAGUUUGUCGGCUGUUAUGCAUGUGUAGGUCAUAUCAUAUUCAAUGCAAACAUAUAUAUCAUGCAACUGGCAGCCACAUGGUCCUUUAAUAACAUAAAUUAAUAUUUUAAAACCAAAGGAAUCUGCAAAUCUCCUGCAAAAUUCUGAAAUGCCAGGUUUCUUUUUUUUCUUUUUUUUAAAUGAACAGGUCGUCUUCUACAAGUGCCGGGUCACUUGGACCCGGUUCCGACCCGAAUGAAAAAUCCGGUCAUAUAUCAUGAUUCCGACCACCAAAUUUUGCAAAUUUUAUAUCAAAAAUCUCAGAAAUCAAUUUCCUAAUGAUUCCUAGCUUUAUUUCCAUCAAAAACACAUGAAACAUGGAUCUGAAAUUUUUUUAAAAAUUACAGUAAAUUUCUGAAAAAUUUUGCAGAGAACAAAACGGCAAGGCAGAGGCAAAUAGUGCUCUGAUACCAACUGUUAGAGCUUUAUCACGAUCUAUCAUGUGAAUAAACAACAACAUAUAGAUCAAAUGCGGAAACUGAAGAUUAUAAACUAACCUCCAACCAUUGUCGUUUGAACUGCAGAAUUUCGAAUUGUGUUUGGUGCUUCCAAGCCUUCAAGACCUCUCUGCGAUGGUGUAGUUUCAUGAAAGUCUCGGCUGGGGGACCAAUACCACUUUAUUCCCUUUAUAUACUUCUUCCCAUCAAAGAAGUUACGAAACGUGAACGGUUACCACAAAGUAGGGAAGAUGGACAGUUAUGAGAAGGUGAGUUAUGAGAAG